rnacentral:rRNA from 1 species
GCAUAUCAAUAAGCGGAGGAAAAGAAACUAACAAGGAUUCCCCUAGUAACGGCGAGUGAAGCGGGAAGAGCUCAAAUUUGAAAGCUGUUGCCUUUGGUAACCGCAUUGUAAUCUCGAGAUCUGUUUUCCGCGCUGGACCAUGUACAAGUCCCUUGGAAUAGGGCGUCAUAGAGGGUGAGAAUCCCGUACUUGACAUGGCCUCCCAGUGCUUUGUGAUACAGGCUCAACGAGUCGAGUUGUUUGGGAAUGCAGCUCAAAAUGGGUGGUAAAUUCCAUCUAAAGCUAAAUAUUGGGGAGAGACCGAUAGCGAACAAGUACCGUGAGGGAAAGAUGAAAAGCACUUUGGAAAGAGAGUUAAACAGUACGUGAAAUUGUCAAAAGGGAACCGUUUAAAGUUAGUCAUGCUUGCCUGGACUCAGCCUUGCUUUUGCUUGGUGCAUUUCCAGGUUAGCAGGUCAGCAUCGGUUUUGACUGCUGGAUAAGGGUGAGAGGAAUGUGGCACCUUCGGGUGUGUUAUAGCCUUUUACUGGAUGCAGCAGUUGGGACCGAGGAACGCAGCGCGCCUUUAUGGCGGACCUUUGGGUACCUUCGCGCUUAGGAUGCUGGCAUAAUAGCUUUAAGCGACCCGUCUUGAAACACGGACC